rnacentral:rRNA from 1 species
CACCGCGGUUAUACGAGGAGCCCAAGUUGAUAGCCUCCGGCGUAAAGCGUGGUUAAGAUAAAAUUAAAGUAAAGCAGAACGCAAACCAAGCUGUUAUACGCAUUUGAAAGUAGAAGCCCAAUUACGAAAGUAGCUUUAUACAACUGACCCCACGAAAGCCAGGGCA